GGAUUUUAAUAUGAGCUUUUCCUUUCCAUUUUGACAGGUGAGGUUGCGAAUAGAUAAAAAAGCUAGGCGUGAUUAUUGCCGUAUCAGAGAAGGAAAUAAGAAUAACAUUGGGGAAUGCUAACAAUGACGUCAUAGCAGCUGUUUAUGAAUGAUUGAUAAUUGUCAAUUUCAUAUCAUCCAUCCUACGCGCCUACUUAUCUUCAAUAAUUAUUAAUUAGGUUGUCACUUGUCAUUAUUCUUCAUUAAAGGAAGUCAGAGUUUUGAAUGAAUGGAAAGGAAAGUAGGGAAACAAUUCCUUGUGAUUCAUGGAUAAAUAAGAAUGAGCUCUGGAUCCAUGCUGUGAAUUCUGGUUUCUUAGCUGCUGUUGUAGGUGUUUUGGGAAAAAUCUGCUAUGAUAACGACUUGGUCAGAAAGAUUUGCAUAUCUGUAAGUUCGGAAUCUUUCUGCCAUGCUACUUCAGGCUUGUUUGGAUACAUACUUUUCGGCGAAUCCCUAAAACUCAGCUGGUGGAUUGGUAUCUCCUUUAUUAUAAGCGGAUCAUUUAUACUUAUACAAGACGAAAAAGAGAAAGUAAAAAAUAAAAAUGCCUGAAGAAGAGGUAGACGGACGUAAACUCUUAAAUAAUUGGCUUAAAAAAAGUACUGUUAUUCAUUUAAGUGACGGAAGACAUGUUGAAGGAACAUUUUUAUGUACAGAUAGAGAUGCCAAUGUUAUUCUUAGUGCAUGCACUGAGUAUGUUGAAGAUUCUGCCGCUGGUUCCAAAUUUCUUGGUCUCGUUCUUGUUCCAGGAAAACAUAUAAAAUCAAUUUACAUAGACGUUAAAGAUACUAAACCACCCUCUGAUGAAAAUGUAGGCACUGGAAAUGAUUAUUAUGAUGAAGAAAAUAUGAAUUCCUUGAGUGAUGUGGAAGCAACUGUUCUUAGCAAAAUUGAUUUAAUUUAAUCUUGUUUUCUGUCGAAUAAUAUCUCUUUGUUCACCUAAAUGUUUUAUAACCUAAAAUAAUUAUUAAAAAAAAAAAAAAAUGUUACCUCAAUUAUAUAACCAUAGGAUUUAUAAAUAUUUGUGUUCAGGCAUUUAAUAAUUUCAUUAAAAAAACCUUUUAAAAGUUUAAAAAAAUAAAAUGAUUCUGCUCAGCUAUGUAUUGCUUUACAUCCCAUAUACUAUUUAUUUUUAAAACCACGUAACCUCUUUUAUAUAACCACACUGUCUUGAUUCGAUUAUUAUUAUUAAAAAAAAUACGUAUAAUAUUUUAACUA
rnacentral:misc_RNA from 1 species